rnacentral:rRNA from 1 species
UUAAAUUAGUAAGAGCGUACGGUGGAUGUCUUGGCAUAUAGAGCAGAAGAAGGACGCAGAUAACGGCGAAACGCCUCGGGGAGUCGUACACAGGCAACGAUCCGGGGGUAUCCGAAUGGGGAAACCCGAUAAAGUUGAAAAGCUUUAUCAUCCUUAAGCCAAUACAUAACUUAAGAGAAGGCAACCCAGGGAAUUGAAACAUCUUAGUACCUGGAGGAGAAGAAAAUAACAAUGAUUCCGAGAGUAGUGGCGAGCGAAAUCGGAGCAGCCCAAACCAGCAAAGAGCUGGGGUAGUAGGACCACGACAAGUGAUUGAAAAGAGAUAGUCGAAUGGCAUUGAAAGGUCAGCCGCAGAAGGUGCAAGCCCUGUAGGCGAAAUCUCGAUUCACGCGAGUGGAAUCCUGAGUACGUCGGAGCACGUGAAACUCUGACGGAAUCAACCGGGACCAUCCGGUAAGGCUAAAUACUCCUAUAUGACCGAUAGUGAACCAGUACCAUGAGGGAAAGAUGAAAAGAACCGCGGGAGCGGAGUGAAAUAGAUCCUGAAACCGUAUGCUUACAAAAAGUCAGAGCACAUUAAGGUGUGAUGGCGUGCCUUUUGUAGAAUGAACCGGCGAGUUAUCUUUGCAUGCGAGGUUAAGCAGACAAUGCGGAGCCGUAGCGAAAGCGAAUCUUAAUAGGGUGGCAAGUAUGUAGAGAUAGACCCGAAGCCGUAGUGAUCUAGUCAUGAGCAGGUUGAAGGCUGGGUGAAUCCAGCUGGAGGACCGAACCGACCCCCGUUGAAAAGUUGGCGGAUGACUUGUGAUUAGCGGAGAAAUUCCAAUCGAACACGGCGAUAGCUGGUUCUCCCCGAAAUAGCUUUAGGGCUAGCGUUGAACGAAUCUACCCGGAGGUAGAGCACUGAAAUCAUGCGGGCGGCAUCUCGCCGUACCAAAUGAUAUCAAACUCCGAAUGCCGGGCAAGAAUAUUCAGCAGUCAGACUGUGGGUGAUAAGGUCCAUGGUCAAAAGGGAAACAGCCCAGAUCAUCAGAUAAGGUCCCAAAAUUUACGCUAAGUGGAAAAGGAUGUGGAGACGCGCAAACAGCUAGGAGGUUGGCUCAGAAGCAGCCAUCCUUCAAAGAGUGCGUAACAGCUCACUAGUCGAGUAUCUCUGCGCCGAAAAUUAACCGGGGCUAAGCGUAAUACCGAAUCUAUGGAUUUAUACUUAGGUAUAAGUGGUAGGGGAGCGUUCCAUACAGCAUUGAAGGUAUACCGUAAGGAGUGCUGGAGCGUAUGGAAGUGAGAAUGCCGGUGUGAGUAGCGAGAUGUGGGUGAGAAUCCCACACACCGAAAAACCAAGGUUUCCAGGGGAAGGUUCGUCCGCCCUGGGUAAGUCGGGACCUAAGGCCAGGCCGAAAGGCGUAGUCGAUGGACAGCAGGUUGAUAUUCCUGCACCCGCGAGUAAAGUGAUGGAGUGACAGAUAGGGUUAACCCAAGUCCUAAAUGGAUUGGGCAAGGCAAGCAGGAGAGUGGCGUAGGCAAAUCCGCGCCGGAUACUCAAAGGCUUGACUCAAGCGAACGCGCGAGCAAGUAGUGAAGAGGGUGAUACCAGGUCUCAAGAAAAGCUUCUAGCGAUAAUUUACUAGCGGCCCGUACCAAAACCGACACAGGUGGUUGAGGCGAGUAGCCUAAGGUGAGCGAGAGAACUGUUGCCAAGGAACUCGGCAAAUUGACCCCGUACGUUAGCAAUAAGGGGUGCUCGAAAGAGCCGCAGUGAAUAGGCCCUAGCAACUGUUUAACUAAAACAUAGCUCUCUGCGAAGUCGCAAGACGAAGUAUAGGGGGUGACACCUGCCCGGUGCUGGAAGGUCAAGGGGAUUUGUCAGACGCAAGUCGAAGCAUUGAACCGAAGCCCCAGUGAACGGCGGCCGUAACUAUAACGGUCCUAAGGUAGCGAAAUUCCUUGUCGGGU